GAAAGUCUCUCCCCUUCUAUGAGCCACACAGGGUUGCCAUUAUUCAUAGGACUGACUCCUGCAAUCCACAGUAAACCGGUCUAGAGAAGCACUUGGACUGCCAGGGCUUAUGACAAUUUCUUACUUCAAUUAAAAUGCCUAUGGAUUUUAUGCCGAAAGGGGAAUGUUUUAAACUUGAAUUAUUAGCUUCCAAUGACCAUCCAAACCAAUGUAAAAUAUUUAAUGCUCCACUUCAUUUGUUUUGUUUAAAACUGAUCUUGUGCUUGAAAAUUUUGGCUGCUGUGCUCAUUACUGUUCAGCCACAAAGAAUGCAAAAACAAGAGCAGUUUUUAUUUUGAUGAGCGGCAGCCAUUAUAUCCUAAGUGUUCAUCUUCACCACAAGCCAUCAUUUGUUGAGGCCCUAAUACAUACAUAUUCUUUCAAGUUGCUUUACAUAUAUUGAUCCACUCAGUCUAGUCUAACAGCAUGCAUUUACUGAGCGCCUUCUAAGUGCCAUGCAUCAACCUGGGCAUUAGAAAUAAAAAGUGAGGAGCAAGUCCAAGGUAAUGGCCCCAUGGAGAAAGCAGAUCAUCAAAUAAGCAGUUACUAUGCAAUGUGGUAAAUGCUGUGAUGGAGAAAACAGGUUAUUAAAAAUAAUAAAAAUGAUAUAUUAGAGGCCAGGCACAGUGUCUCUGCCCUAUAAUCUCAGAGCUUUGGAAGGCCAAGGUGGGAGGACUGCUUGAGCCCAGGAGUUCAAGGUUACAGUGAGCUAUGACUGUGCCACUGCACUCCAGCCUGGGAAACAGAGUAAGACCCUGUCUCUAAAAUAUAUAUAUAUAUACAUAUACACACACACAUAUAUAUAAAAAACAUAUACAUAUAUAUAUAUUUUAGACACAUCACACUUAGUAGGUGUUCAGUAAAUGCAUAUCUACCUGUAGACUAGAAAGACAGACUGCAUGUCAGAUGUUUAAAGCCACGUCUGUAAUUCUAACAACACUCUACCAGGGUAGGUGUCUCCCCACUUUCCAAAUGAGCAUUCUCAGGUUUUUCCACACUGCACACUGCCUCUCUAACAGUAUCAGCAUCAGCAUCAUCGUUUGCAUCUUACAUCCCCAUUCUGGUCUCAAAAUUACACUUGCCAAACUGCAUUAGCUCAUUGAGGCAUGCAUUAAUCCCAAUAUUGAUCAUAGAUACCAAUUUGCAGGAAGUCUAUGAAACCCUGCACACCAUGGGGAGAAAGGACCACAACAACUCCAAACCACAGGGCACACCCCAAAGAAACUCACAAGCUGGCUGCAAAGAGUAAUACAAGACUAAUAAACAUGAAACAGGAUAAACAUGUCACUGGGCAGUCUAUGGUCAUGGACAAAGAGAGUCUCAGAGAAGUCACUUGACUUUAAAAGGGGAAACUCAUUGUGGAAGGAUUCAUUAAGGAAGUAGGACUUAGGUCUUAAGAUCAUAUAAGGUCAGAUGGUGCAAUAGGAAAGAAGGCCAGUCCCUCAGGAAAGCAGUGUACACAGAGAGGUGCCCAGGAGGCUCACAGGUUAGGCUGAACGACGGCCAAGGGUGUAACUAGAGCCCGACAAUGGGGCAAGUCAGCCUGCAGCUGCCCGAGGUGCCAACUGAUAAGAGAUGCUAGGGCAUCCUGGGGCAUUAAAACACCUCGGUAUAAUAGCAGAUUUAUAAGAACUCCUCCCAGAGACUAUUACACAUCAUGGAGGCAGUUCUUUGUUCCGCCUCCUGGGACAGAGGGUGAGACCCUAAAGGGCCUCCAGGAGCCAAAACUGAAGGCCACCAAGCACCCUUCUAAAGAUAACAAGUGCAUCUGCUGCAGGGACUUGCUUCUGCUUGGAGGGUGUGCCAGCUCAAGGCCAGGGCUGCAUUAUUCAGAAUCAUAGUGGAGGCUGAAUGCUGUCAGCAACCCUUCUCCCCAUGACCCUUUUCCUAUAAGGCAUCCCCUCCCAAAGCUGGUAAACAGAAACUUAAAGAAUAUUGACUUGCCGGCCAAGUUAUUAGCUUGCCUGGGGCACCCAGAUGUCUCAGCCAGUCUACAGAUAAUAUCUAUAUUUGUUUAACUCUCUACUGCUGAUCAACUACUUUUACAAGUUAGAUUAUUUUUACAACAGCAAUGAAAAAAGCACUAAACCUCUCAUAGAGGAAAAUCCUGAGUGUCAGAGUGGGUAAAUGGCCUGUUCAAGAAAACUGGCAAGUUGCAGAGCCAGGUUUUGGACCAGGGUAUCUGUCCAGUGGCCCAUCUGCUCUAUUACUGCUGCAGAUGGACUGCUGCAAUAGUUGCAAUACUCUAUAAAGUUCCUGACCGUUGACAGAGAGCUUUUACAGAAGUCUUAGGCAGUACACACAAAUACGAACAUUUUCAAUUUUCCUAAAAGUAAAAUAACAUUAACAAUAAUACUUGUACUCUACUUCUUCAAAAACCCAUCUUUCCUCCUGGCUAUGUACUUUGUCUCACUACAUUUAUAAGGUAAGUGAAUCGUUAUUAUUUAGAUGACUGCUAAAGAUAUAUAAGUAAAGUCUUUUUUUUCUUUCUUUUUUUUUUGAGACAGAGUCUCGCUGUAUCACCCAGGCUGGAGGGCAGUGGCGCGAUCUCCAUUCACUGCAACCUCCGCCUCCCAGGUUCAGGCGAUUCUCAUGCCUCAGCCUCCCAAAUAGCUGGGACUACAGGCGCGCGCCACUGCGCCUGGCCAAUUAAAGUCUUAAAUCUUAGAUAAUUUUUUUUGUAUUUUUAGUAGAGACAGGGUUUCACUAUGUUAGCCAGGCUGGUCUUGAACUCCUGACCUCGUGAUUUGCCUACCUCAGCCUCCCAAAAGUGCUGGGAUUACAGGUGUGAGCCACCUCGCCUGGCCAAGUAAAGUCUUAAAUCUUAGAUACUGGUCUACUAGUAAUUCACUGCUUAGAAUGACCUUGCAUUUGUGCCACAUAUCUGCCCAUUUCCAUUUUCCUGCCACCAAACUCCUGCCUCCACUCCCAAUCUUCCCUCAGUGACACGUGAUGUCAUAUAAGCAGCAUCUUCCUACAUGUCCAUUUUACAUUAGGACUUGUUUUCAGGAAGUGGCUACAUCCAAGGCAGACAUAAAAUCAGGACUUGAAAAAUUUUCCAAAAAACAAUCAUUCACUCAUUUUUUGGCAAAAACAAUAGCAGUUAUACAAGAUAGAUGAGUCUGUACAUUUCAUUUUUAAAAACUUCAGACUUCCAGUUUUUCAGAGCAUUUCUUUAAAAUUCCUAGGUCACACAAAUUAUUUAAUAAACAAUUUGUCAAUUUGCCUUGCACAGUGGGGAGAACGUUAUACACAAAAAUGUACACUGAGCAAAUCAAAGUGCUAGUGACAAAUAAGUAAGCCACCUCCCUCCCCUCAUCAUCACGCCCACGAAAUAAAGAUCAAAAACUCCCUUCGCCAACCACAGGGAGGCCUCUUUUUCUAUUUCUUUCUCAUAACACAUAAUGGUACCAAAAAAUCAUAAUGAAAAUAAGGUCAAUAUACUUAAUCCAUAAUAUAAUAAUCUCAACUAAUUUUAGUCAUCUCUCUUUCUAACAACACUUAAACGAUCAGGCCACACUAUGCAAAUCAAAUUAAAAUUUAUUUUUUUGCUUUUUUCUUCCAGUCCCAAAGGAAAACUCCAAAUACCACUCAUCUUGCUGAAAACCACAGUAAAGUUAUUUAAUUCCAGUUAAACCAAAUAUUUCACCCACACACUCUUAAACUUUAAUCUUAAACAUAUCCAUGAAAUGUGAUGUUUGAAGAGCUUUCCUUAUUUACUCACCAGAUCAUCAAUAUACAGAGAGCUCUUCCUAAGCACAGGCCCCCAUCUAUGUUUUCAGUCGAUACUAAAUAUUUAGAGAAAUACUCUGUUACAGUAACUUUUAAAAAAAUUCUACACUAUCAUUUGAAUUUUUAAAAAAAUUUAGUUAAGCUUAGUUUCCAUAAUUCUCAUUAGGCAAUCCAGGAUGUGGGUGUUUUUUAAUUUCCUUUUCAUGGAGAAAAAGGAAGCUUUGUAUCAGGACAUCAGAUGUAUAUGGGAAAAUACAUAUUUCAAUGCACAUAUAAGUAAAUACAUAUUUUGUUUGUUUAAAGAUCCUUUUGCCUACUCCACUCACAAUGUAAAUACACCACAGUCAAAUUCCAUAAAUUCAGUUUUAAAUGUAUGUAUGAAAACUAGGUUUUCUACUAAAGUUGACCAGAGCCCAAAACACUCUGUCUAAUACACAGUCAAAGGAAACAGCAAUCAGCCCUUAGAUGCCCCGAAAGAAACUAUUCUUUGUUUACCUAGAAACUGAAAGAUUUUACACUGAGAAUCACAGCUGCUACAGCAAUGGAGGUAUGCUCUGAAUC
rnacentral:lncRNA from 10 species